ensembl:snRNA LOC120094969 U4 spliceosomal RNA
AGCUUUGCCCAGUGGCAGUAUCGUAGCCAAUGGGGUUUAUCCGAGACACGAUUAUUGCUAAUUGAAAUGGGUUAACAUAUAGAGAUUGGGAUCAAAACCCUAGUUAGUAGUAAAGAAGGCAUUUUC